rnacentral:tRNA from 1 species
UCCCCAGUGAUCCAGUGGUUAGGACUUGGUACUUUGACUGCCAAGGGCCUGGGAUUAAAUCCCUGGUUGGGGAA